AAUAAAUUCUAAAAUAAGUCUAAAUUAAAAUUUAAAUAGGAAAAGCCAGGGAAAAAGUCAUUGCAUGUGAAGUAUUUUAAAUGUGUUGCAACUUCAACUGCAACGCCGGCUAGCUGCCAGCUGCUGUCCUACCCAGCCGGCCGGCGGCGCGCCAUACCAGCGACAUGGACACUGACAUCGACGCUGUUGACAAGAACGUCGUGUCUCUGUCGACGUUUACGUCUUUCUCUCUAACCCACUCAGCCCUCCUCUACACACCGUUUCUGUACUGGUAUCUGCAAACGCAAAAUUUGUGCGCUUUUUGCGUGAAAAAUGAUGGAAAAUAAUUUGCAAACGUUGAAGACUUAAAGCAAACUCAAAGUUGAGCCCGAACGUGCUUUUGAUGUGGCCAUUUGCUGCACGUUUUUGCCCAGGGAUACCCUCGACGUUGGUUACCUGUUUGCCUAGCCCAGCUAUGCUUGUGUUUACUCUUUGCCGUGGCACACGCUUCCUCUGGGUCUAUUCCGCGUUUCUGUGUAUUUAGGUGAAAUUUAUUUAACUAAUUAUUAUGUAAGCGCUCGAGCUACGAGCGCUGUGUAAUGAAAUUAAAGCUUUUUUCCAGAUCUGUCAAAUGCGCAGCUGUUUUGUGCAGGCUCAACUAAUACUCUGUGAAAUACAUAUAUGAGAACAACAGCAAUCGCAAUAAAUUUAUACAUGCAACGAAAAUAAGAGAUCAACAGCAAAAUGCGAGCACAAAUUUUUAUAUAGCACUCUGGGGAUAAUCAGCAGCAACAGCAACAACAACAGUCAGCAGCAGCAGCAGCUAAUGUAAAGUCCAACGCAGACACAUAAAAAUGAGAAUUUAUGCAGCUCGGAAAAGUAGUUACCGCAGGGAUAUGGCCAAAGGGGCGUGGCCCAGCCCAAUGGGCGCUCAAUGAAGCAGGUGACGCAGGUGACGCUUUGGAUUUGUGACUGCGGAACAAAAAAUAUAAAUAAAUAAGAAAAAACAAUAGCAACAAGAGCCAUAAACAAGCGUGACGCACAUGUCUCCUCUUGAAAAAACUCAACUUUGGUUUAUUGAAACACACACACACACAAAAGUGAACAACACAAUUAUUGCCACAUUUUUAAGCACUGUCAAUAAAAAACUUUGUACUUCACUGCACUAUAAAAUGCAGUUAAAUGCUGCAUUCAAUAGCACCUACCAACAAUUUAGUGCAGCUUACAUGUACAUGGAAUGCGCAGAAUUUUUAAAUUGAGAAAUGGUAUUUCAAUUAUGGAAAAGGUAAUAUUGCAAAUUCGAAGAAUUGCUGGCAAAGAAAAAUAC